rnacentral:rRNA from 1 species
CCCUUAGACGUUCUGGGCCGCACGCGCGCUACACUGACGGAGCCAGCGAGUAUAAACCUUGGCCGAGAGGUCUGGGAAAUCUUGUGAAACUCCGUCGUGCUGGGGAUAGAGCAUUGUAAUUAUUGCUCUUCAACGAGGAAUUCCUAGUAAGCACAAGUCAUCAGCUUGCGUUGAUUACGUCCCUGCCCUUUGUACACACCGCCCGUCGCUACUACCGAUUGAAUGGCUUAGUGAGGCUUCCGGAUUGGUUUAGAGAAGGGGGCAACUCCAUCUUGGAACCGAGAAGCUAGUCAAACUUGGUCAUUUAGAGGAAGUAAAAGUCGUAACA